UACGUAGGGUGCAAGCGUUGUCCGGAAUUAUUGGGCGUAAAGAGCUCGUAGGCGGUCUGUCGCGUCGGCUGUGAAAACCCGGAGCUCAACUCCGGGCCUGCAGUCGAUACGGGCAGACUGGAGUUCGGCAGGGGAGACUGGAAUUCCUGGUGUAGCGGUGAAAUGCGCAGAUAUCAGGAGGAACACCGGUGGCGAAGGCGGGACUCUGGGCCGAUACUGACGUGAGGAGCGAAAGCGUGGGGAGCAAACAG
rnacentral:rRNA from 1 species